GCGUCGCCCUAAAUCUUUGGGGCCAGAACCAGUAAUGGUUCUUGAGAAAAAUUGGGUGAAUUCGGGGGAACUCUUGCAAAAGACAAUCCCGAGCCAAGGCAGGAAGGGCUGAAGGUUUCCUGUAAGGUGUAGAGACUAGCAGGUGAGUCCCAACAAUAACCCUGCACCAGCGCCCAACUCCUUUUUAUAAAGGAUGAUGAUAUAGUCCAAGUAGCCUUUGGAAGAGGCGA
rnacentral:ncRNA from 1 species